CACGUAGGGGCCAAGCGUUGUCCGGAAUCAUUGGGCGUAAAGAGCGUGUAGGCGGCUCGGUAAGUCCGCUGUGAAAGUCCAGGGCUCAACCCUGGAAUGCCGGUGGAAACUGUCGGGCUAGAGUCCGGAAGAGGCGAGUGGAAUUCCUGGUGUAGCGGUGAAAUGCGCAGAUAUCAGGAGGAACACCAAUGGCGAAGGCGAGUCUCUGGGAUGAUGCUGACGCUGAGGCGCGAAAGCCAGGGGAGCAAACGGG
rnacentral:rRNA from 1 species